rnacentral:rRNA from 1 species
UACGGGGGGGGCAAGCGUUGUUCGGAAUUACUGGGCGUAAAGCGCGCGUAGGCGGCUUUGUAAGUUAGAGGUGAAAGCCCGGAGCUUAACUCCGGAACUGCCUUUAAGACUGCAUCGCUAGAAUCGUGGAGAGGUGAGUGGAAUUCCGAGUGUAGAGGUGAAAUUCGUAGAUAUUCGGAAGAACACCAGUGGCGAAGGCGACUUACUGGACGACUGUUGACGCUGAGGUGCGAAAGCGUGGGGAGCGAACAGG